rnacentral:rRNA from 1 species
GAUGAACGCUGACAGAAUGCUUAACACAUGCAAGUCAACUUGAAUUUGGGUUUUUAACUUAGGUUUGGGUGGCGGACGGGUGAGUAACGCGUAAAGAACUUGCCUCACAGCUAGGGACAACAUUUGGAAACGAAUGCUAAUACCUAAUAUUAUGAUAAUAGGGCAUCCUAUAAUUAUGAAAGCUAUAAGCGCUGUGAGAGAGCUUUGCGUCCCAUUAGCUAGUUGGAGAGGUAACGGCUCACCAAGGCGAUGAUGGGUAGCCGGCCUGAGAGGGUGAUCGGCCACCAGGGGACUGAGACACGGCCCGUACUCCUACUUUAGGCAACAGUGGGUAAUAUCUGACAAUGGUCCGAGAGUCUGAUCCAGCACUUCUGUGUGCACGAAGAAUUUUUUCGGAAUGUAAAGUGCUUUCAGUUGGGAAGAAACAAAUGACGGUACCAACAGAAGAAGUGACGGCUAAAUACGUG